rnacentral:rRNA from 1 species
AAACUGGGUCUAAUACCGGAUAUUCACUGGUCUCCGCAUGGGGGUUGGUGGAAAGUUUUUUCGGCUGGAGAUGGGCCCGCGGCCUAUCAGCUUGUUGGUGGGGUAAUGGCCUACCAAGGCGACGACGGGUAGCCGGCCUGAGAGGGUGACCGGCCACACUGGGACUGAGAUACGGCCCAGACUCCUACGGGAGGCAGCAGUGGGGAAUAUUGCGCAAUGGGCGAAAGCCUGACGCAGCGACGCCGCGUGGGGGAUGAAGGCCUUCGGGUUGUAAACCUCUUUCGCCAUCGACGAAGCCCUUCGGGGUGACGGUAGGUGGAGAAGAAGCACCGGCCAACUACGUGCCAGCAGCCGCGGUAACACGUAGGGUGCGAGCGUUGUCCGGAAUUAUUGGGCGUAA